CAGCUUGUUGGCGAGGUAACGGCUUACCAAGGCGACGACGGGUAGCUGGUCUGAGAGGACGACCAGCCACACUGGAACUGAGAUACGGUCCAGACUCCUACGGGAGGCAGCAGUGGGGAAUCUUGCACAAUGGGCGCAAGCCUGAUGCAGCGACGCCGCGUGGGAGAUGAAUGCCUUCGGGUUGUAAACCCCUUUCGGCAGGGAAGAAGCGCAAGUGACGGUACCUGCAGAAGAAGCCCCGGCUAACUACGUGCCAGCAGCCGCGGUAAUACGUAGGGGGCAAGCGUUGUCCGGAUUUAUUGGGCGUAAAGAGCGUGUAGGCGGCUAGGUAGGUCCGUUGUGAAAACUCGAGGCUCAACCUCGAGACGUCGAUGGAAACCAUCUAGCUAGAGUCCGGA
rnacentral:rRNA from 1 species